rnacentral:lncRNA from 1 species
AGCUUAUGGACCUGCAUGAAAAUGUAUUCGAAUGAGAUCUCGGCUGGUUCCUAGUUUACAUCGAUAUUUUAUCUGCUUAAAUAUUAUCAAACUUAUCAGCUACACCACUUGAUACUUUCACAUGCUUCUCAGUGUACCUCCCAUAUUCCUCUACCUAUUCAUGUAUAUAGAUAUAACAUCUGGGAAAUUAUAAUUUUGCUUACAUGUAGCCAUUUUCCAUCUUAUAUAAUUCCUAAAUGUUGUUCAAUGAGCAUGUGUUCUUUUUUACAAUCAUAAUCAUAAAAUAAGUUCUUCAAAAACCAUUUUCCCCUGACACACAUGUGCAGUGUGUGUAUCCCACCCCAGUGCCACCAACUUUACUAGAAAUAAUUUCUCAACCCUGGUCCCCCUACACUAUGAAAAGAGCCUUUCUUCACGGGCAAUGUACACAAUGUCCCAUCAGGCCUCUCUCCUCCUGCCUUGUGUCCUCUCUGUAUGUAAAAGCACCCCAUCCUCAAAUCAGGUGAGAUCUUGUCCGAUUUAUAAAAUUCUAUAACUAAAUCAUGCUAAAACAGAAUGAUUAAGUUUGAUGAAUAUAUGUCUGGGGCAGGAAGAAGAGGUUGUUUUUUUGUUUGUUUGUUUGUUUGUUUGUUUUUUUCCCAGAUGGUGAAAAUCACUAAGUAUUACUUAGUAAAACACUAACUUGAGAUGUGAACUAGCGAACCCCCAUCUGACAGAACCGUGAAGGCCUCCCUAGCCAGUUCACAGGGCAGAGGAUGAACAAAGUUUAUCUGCCUGAGCACCUCAUCGACUACUGCAGUUCCAGUCUUGUCUCCAUUCUGCCAUCUUGCGGCCUUUCCUGUUGCUGCAUUCAGCGUUCUAAUUGUCACAAGUGCCUUCAGANUAAAUGGAAUCAUGGAGAAUGUGUGAUGGUGUUUAGCUUCCUUCACUUUGCAUGAUGCUUUGUAGAUUCAUCCACAUCACAGCAUAUAUAAGAACUUCGUUUAUUUUUAUUGGUGAAUAACAUUCCAUUGUGUAUACACACACACAAUACACACACACACACAACUGGUUUAUUCACUCAUGCAUCAGUGGAUAUCUGGACAAUUUCCAUCCAGAAUUGUGAAUCCUGCUCUUGUGAACAUGAGUAUACCUGUACUACUUGCCUGAAUACCUGUUUUCAAUUCCUGGAGAAAAUAUAUAGGAAUGAAAUUGCAUUAGCCCUGAUCAAAAACUGAAGAUGUGGAUGAAAAAAUCUGAAAAUGUAAAAUAAAAACAUUAUUUCAAUGGCAGGGAAAAAUAAGUAAUGGAUCUAAAGAAGGAACAUUUUUUUAAAAAUUCUUUUAUUUUUCAGAGACUUUGUCCACCGUAGUAGUUAAUAAAUAAGUGGACCUCAGACUGCUUAUCUUUACAAUAAGGAGAAUAUGACUUACUUCAUACAUUUGUACUAAAUAUUUAAUUGGAAAAUAGUGCUUUGUACAGUGAUAGCAAUUGUCAAAACCUCAACAAAUGUCAAUCUCUUGUUUCUUUAUUCUUGUAAAGGAAAUGGGUUUUGUUUACCAGAGAUUUCAGAAGAAUUGAAUGCAGUUCCACAACUAUAACAUUCUCUGAGGAAGGAAAUUGAGUUGAGUGGAGUGUUGAUCUAUGUGGUUGCUUAUAUACUGGUAAUGUAUAUUUUACCCCCUCUGGCUCUCUGCCCUGAUGAAUAUGGUGUUCAGUUUUUUCCUCUAGGAAGACAACUGACUCUAUUUUCAGUCUCGGGAGUUCCGCAUCACAAUGAAGAUGAUCUCAGAAUCACCUGUAAAAUAUUUGACAGAAACUAUUAAAAAGCCACAAAUAGUUUUUCUCUUUCCUAAAGCAUACAGAGUCCUUCUUUUGAAAAAGUAAUGUUAUGUAAAAAAAAUGCAAAAUCAUAUCCAAUGUGUUUUAGCUUUCAGUUCCUGUGAAUUCUUGCUCUGUUGAAAGAUUAGUGUGUCCAAAAGAAACCAUAUUGUUGUAACUUUGUCAUGUAGUAAGAAUCCCAAUUUGAGAAAAUUUUAGUUUUAAAUUAUGUGAGGAAAUUUUUAUCUGUGGCUGACUUGAUUUGGUGAGCACACUUGUUUCCACAAUAAAAUUAAUGUUAGGAUUUCAUAAAAA